UACAUCUGGCCGCAGGAUGCCGCGUGUAGUGAUGAAUGCCCUCUGGUUUGAAAACUCUUUUUAUACGGGAAAAAAUGACUCUACCUGGUAAAGAAACCCCGGACAACUCCAUGCCAGAACCCCCAACUCCAUGCCAGGGGUUACGGUUGUACGGAAGUUCCGGGCGUUAUCCGGACUCAUUGGGUUUAAAGGGUCCGAGGUGAAAUCCCUGGGUCCAACCUGAAAACUGCCUUCUAAACUGCUAAUCUGGAGUUCAAGAGAGGUGAGUGGAAUUCCAAUGGUGUAGGUGAAAUUCGUAGAGAUUCGGAGAAAUGCCUAUGUCUAACGCGGAUCACUGAUUGCAUACGGACCCUAAUAUGCUAAAACGGACGCAGCAGACAGAAAUAGAGACCCUGGAACUCGAUUACAUACCCUAGGUAGUCCACGCCGUAAACUAUGAUCCCUCUCUGUUACACAUCUAUUGGAUUAUUCAUUCCGCCUGGGGAGUGUGGUCCCCCGAGUGAAUCUCACUGGAAUUGACAGACUCAAAGGAAUUGAGGGUGAC
rnacentral:rRNA from 1 species